CUGGUAGCACCAUCAAUCAGAGAGCAAGUCAGCACAACCCCAGUGGAAGUCCAGGCCUCUGUGUGUCAGAGUUUGUUUUAGGACUGACAUCCCUUUAUAAACACCACAAGCGGCUCCAGUUGAAUCACCAUUUGCAGCUCUGUCUAACCCUUCUGCGUCAGCACUCAAAGUGCUUGCAUUUGCCCAGGAGGUAAAUGCAGAUGCAGCUAGCAGCCCACAACUGUCUAAUAUUUAGUCGGUAUCCAGCGAUUCAGAUGUGAUACGAACGCUGCACUGACACACCGGUGUGGUGGGAUUAUGUCAGAGGAAUACACAACAACUGGGAUUUGAGCAUCUUUGGGGCUAAGGAGAGUCCAGUUAGUUCCAUAUUCUAUUCCUGCAUCCUGAAUAAACUGGGUUUGAGGCCCACUGACUCGAAAUUGACUGCCUGCAGCUCUGUUUUACUGCAUGGAGAGGAAAGAAGGAGACAGACAGAGACAGAGAGAGACUCAUGGAUUAGAAGGACAGAAACCCCAGACAGAGACAGAGAGAGACUCAUGGAUUAGAAGGACAGAAACCCCAGAGUCAAGAAAAAAAAUUGAAGAAAAUAAACACUUUUCUAUGGAUUUUAGUGUGAGCCAUCAAAAAUGACACACAUCGUUUAAUUAGUGUCCUACCCUUGUCCAAUUAGUAGGGUCUUCAUCUUCAAGCUGCUGCUAUAGACCUGUCUGCAUUUGAAGAGCGAAGAGAACGCAGCACUUCAGGCUGCCUUUGGCAACUGCCGUUUCCCAUCUGGGACUUUGUGUGACACUGGAAUGUCCCUCUUUUCAUGCUGCUAACACUGCCCUCCCUAGGAGAGUCCUUAUGUGAUACAGCAAUACCUUCCCAUUCAUCCACUGGAAGUAAAUAGGUAGGUUGCUCUAUGGCUGACAAGUUCCAAAACGUGGCACUGAGCUUCCCUGACUUUUAGAGUUCUCCACAGGAACCGCGGAGGACAGAGCAUGCACAUAGGUAUGCCAACGGCGGCCAGUGUGGGGUGAGGAGAGGCUUGCCAUCCGGUCAGAAAGCAGCUAAGAGACACAAACCUUUCUCACUAUGCUGGAAUUGCACUGAUGCAAUAAUGGCAGCUCAUUAUCCCUGCGGCCUUUCAAGGGAGCCAUUAUUAUCCUCACUUUUCAGAUGAGGAAAAUAAAGUUCCAAGAGUGUGAGUAACUGACUUAUAAUACUCAUACGUGAUAAAGUUGAAAUUUGAACCUUAAAAUGCUCUGUUCCAAAAC
rnacentral:lncRNA from 1 species